rnacentral:lncRNA from 1 species
UAACCAUGCUGAGAAAACAUAUUACUUGAUGAAUCUAACAAUCAUUAAUUGCAUCCUUUUGGAUUGUCUAUAGAAUUAGCAAUAUUACCUUUCUCACUGAGUUUCACUCUAAAGCUGAACAAAUCAGUGAGAUCUCCUUGUUCUUCAUACAAUUGCUUUUUAAUUCCAUUGACUGGGGUCUUAUUUUAUCUGCUAACCUCAAGUUGGUGAAACACGUAUGUUGAUGCAUCUAAUCUAGCAUGGACUCACUCAUCAGGAUUGGGCAUGAGCGGAUUCACACUGAAUAAAAAUUAAACGUAAAUUUUGCUCAAAAAUUUCAAUUUGGGUUUCGUCAAAAUUUCUCAAGUCCACUCCCUCCACCACAAAACUCAAGUCCGCUCCCUCCACCCCGUGCAAUAGAAUAACACAGCCCACCCAGCCCCCUAAGCAUUGGGCCGGGUCGGGCCGGUCUAGGUCCGGUCAACCCGGCCCGUUUGAC